rnacentral:ncRNA from 1 species
AUAUGAACGAUGAGUGGGAAGAGUAAGUCAGGACGCCUUGGCAGAGAGGAGAAUCAGUAGCUGCGAGAUUCUCUAAGGUCAUGAAUGGCUGAAGGUCGCCCAGGAGUUUUUUCGGUGAAAGCAUGUGCCUAGCCGAGACCGGUUCGCAACCGUUAUCUUGUCAGAGUGAACACGCCAUAAGCAUGACGUUUAUCGUGUGUUAACAAAGGUGGUACCGCGAAAAUAAUCCUUUCGUCCUUUGC